rnacentral:rRNA from 1 species
GAUGAACGCUGGCGGCGUGCCUAAUACAUGCAAGUCGAGCGAACGGACGAGAAGCUUGCUUCUCUGAUGUUAGCGGCGGACGGGUGAGUAACACGUGGAUAACCUACCUAUAAGACUGGGAUAACUUCGGGAAACCGGAGCUAAUACCGGAUGAUAUUUUGAACCGCAUGGUUCAAAAGUGAAAGACGGUCUUGCUGUCACUUAUAGAUGGAUCCGCGCUGCAUUAGCUAGUUGGUAAGGUAACGGCUUACCAAGGCAACGAUGCAUAGCCGACCUGAGAGGGUGAUAGGCCACACUGGAACUGAGACACGGUCCAGACUCCUACGGGAGGCAGCAGUAGGGAAUCUUCCGCAAUGGGCGAAAGCCUGACAGAGCAACGCCGCGUGAGUGAUGAAGGUCUUCGGAUCGUAAAACUCUGUUAUUAGGGAAGAACAUAUGUGUAAGUAACUGUGCACAUCUUGACGGUACCUAAUCAGAAAGCCACGGCUAACUACGUG